rnacentral:rRNA from 1 species
AGUGAACGCUGGCGGUAGGCCUAACACAUGCAAGUCGAACGGCAGCACAGUAAGAGCUUGCUCUUACGGGUGGCGAGUGGCGGACGGGUGAGGAAUACAUCGGAAUCUACUUUUUCGUGGGGGAUAACGUAGGGAAACUUACGCUAAUACCGCGUACGACCUACGGGUGAAAGCAGGGGAUCUUCGGACCUUGCGCGAUUGAAUGAGCCGAUGUCGGAUUAGCUAGUUGGCGGGGUAAAGGCCCACCAAGGCGACGAUCCGUAGCUGGUCUGAGAGGAUGAUCAGCCACACUGGACCUGAGACACGGUCCAGGCUCCUACGGGAGGCAGCAGUGGGGAAUAUUGGACAAUGGGCGCAAGCCUGCUCCAGCCAUACCGCGUGGGUGAAGAAGGCCUUCGGGUUGUAAAGCCCUUUUGUUGGGAAAGAAAAGCAGCAGGUUAAUACCCCGCUGUUCUGACGGUACCCAAAGAAUAAGCACCGGCUAACUUCGUG